rnacentral:lncRNA from 1 species
GAAUGCUUCUAUCUAGUUUUUAUGUGAAGAUAUUUCUUUUUCCACCACAGGCCUCAAAGCACUCCAAAUGUCCACUUGCAGAUCCUACAAAAAGAGAGUUUCAACACUGCUCAAUCAAAAGAAAGGUUUAACUCUGUGAGAUGAAUGCACACAUCACAAAGAAGUUUCUCAGGUUGCUUCUGUCUAGAUUUUAUGUGAAGAUAUUUCCUUUUCUACCAUAGGCUGCAAAUGGCUCCAAAUGUCCACUUGCAGAUUCUA